rnacentral:rRNA from 1 species
UACGUAGGGUCCGAGCGUUGUCCGGAAUUAUUGGGCGUAAAGGGCUCGUAGGCGGUUCGUCGCGUCGGGAGUGAAAAUCCAGGGCUUAACUCUGGACUGGCUUCCGAUACGGGCAGACUAGAGGUAUGCAGGGGAGAACGGAAUUCCUGGUGUAGCGGUGAAAUGCGCAGAUAUCAGGAGGAACACCGGUGGCGAAGGCGGUUCUCUGGGCAUUACCUGACGCUGAGGAGCGAAAGUGUGGGGAGCGAACAGG